CGGGGGGGGUGCUUACACAUGCAAGUCGAACGAUGAACCGCUUUCGGGCGGGGAUUAGUGGCGAACGGGUGAGUAACACGUGGGCAAUCUGCCCUGCACUCUGGGACAAGCCCUGGAAACGGGGUCUAAUACCGGAUAUGACUGUCCAUCGCAUGGUGGAUGGUGUAAAGCUCCGGCGGUGCAGGAUGAGCCCGCGGCCUAUCAGCUUGUUGGUGAGGUAGUGGCUCACCAAGGCGACGACGGGUAGCCGGCCUGAGAGGGCGACCGGCCACACUGGGACUGAGACACGGCCCAGACUCCUACGGGAGGCAGCAGUGGGGAAUAUUGCACAAUGGGCGAAAGCCUGAUGCAGCGACGCCGCGUGAGGGAUGACGGCCUUCGGGUUGUAAACCUCUUUCAGCAGGGAAGAAGCGAAAGUGACGGUACCUGCAGAAGAAGCGCCGGCUAACUACGUGCCAGCAGCCGCGGUAAUACGUAGGGCGCAAGCGUUGUCCGGAAUUAUUGGGCGUAAAGAGCUCGUAGGCGGCUUGUCACGUCGGUUGUGAAAGCCCGGGGCUUAACCCCGGGUCUGCAGUCGAUACGGGCAGGCUAGAGUUCGGUAGGGGAGAUCGGAAUUCCUGGUGUAGCGGUGAAAUGCGCAGAUAUCAGGAGGAACACCGGUGGCGAAGGCGGAUCUCUGGGCCGAUACUGACGCUGAGGA
rnacentral:rRNA from 1 species